UGAACUAUAGGAGAUAAAUUGGUCAUUGACCCUUGCCUUGCAUAUAUGGGGAAAUAAGGUCACAAUUCACAUUAUCUGGAAGUUGACUGCCUUCAUACUGGAAGCCUAUUGCAGACAUGUAGAUGGAUCAUCAGCUGUUGCUUAACAUGAAGAUAGCUCACAUGGGAAAAAUUGUACACGUCUGAGCCACAGCUUUCUGUGAAUCUGCUUCCUGAGGCCUAAUGUUAGGACCAACCCUAGGUCUAGAUGUCAAGUCUUCUUUCCAUUCUAUACACUCAACCUGUAACAAGAAAUUGCUGGCAAUACUCAUUCCAGAAAUCUGCAACAACGAUGGAACAAUAUUUACAACAGAGAUGUAUUCUCUACCCACUUCUACAUUGGAAGGUCAGCCUAAGAUAUGGAGAGAAAACCUCAAGACAGAUAAGAAAAUGUUGUACAGCCCAAAAUGUCAAAAC
rnacentral:lncRNA from 11 species